GAUGAACGCUGGCGGCGUGCCUAAUACAUGCAAGUCGAGUGAAUGGAUUAAGAGCUUGCUCUUAUGAAGUUAGCGGCGGACGGGUGAGUAACACGUGGGUAACCUGCCCAUAAGACUGGGAUAACUCCGGGAAACCGGGGCUAAUACCGGAUAACAAUUUGAACCGCAUGGUUCGAAAUUGAAAGGCGGCUUCGGCUGUAACUUAUGGAUGGACCCGCGUCGCAUUAGCUAGUUGGUGAGGUAACGGCUCACCAAGGCAACGAUGCGUAGCCGACCUGAGAGGGUGAUCGGCCACACUGGGACUGAGACACGGCCCAGACUCCUACGGGAGGCAGCAGUAGGGAAUCUUCCGCAAUGGACGAAAGUCUGACGGAGCAACGCCGCGUGAGUGAUGAAGGCUUUCGGGUCGUAAAACUCUGUUGUUAGGGAAGAACAAGUGCUAGUUGAAUAAGCUGGCACCUUGACGGUACCUAACCAGAAAGCCACGGCUAACUACGUGCCAGCAGCCGCCGUAA
rnacentral:rRNA from 1 species